rnacentral:rRNA from 1 species
GUCUUUUUGGGUUAAAUUUAAAGUCUGGCCUGCCCACUGAGUUUUAAAUGGCCGCAGUAUUCUAACUGUGCAAAGGUAGCAUAAUCAUUAGUCUUUUAAUUGGAGGCUGGUAUGAAUGGUUGGACGAGGUAUGUACUGUUUCAUAUAGAUUUAUGUUAGAAUUUUAUUUUUUAGUUAAAAAGCUAAAAUAAUGUUAAAAGACGAGAAGACCCUAUAAAUCUUUAUAUUUUAUGUUGUUUAAAUUUUAUUGUUUUGUUUUAUUUUAAUUAUAUAAAAUAUUUUGUUGGGGUGAUGUUAAAAUUUAAUGAACUUUUAAUUAUUUUUUUUAGUCAUUGAUUUAUGUAUUAUUGAUCCGUUAGUAAUGAUUAUCAGAUUAAGUUACUUUAGGGAUAACAGCGUAAUUUUUUUGGAGAGUUCUUAUCGAUAAAAAAGGUUGCGACCUCGAUGUUGGAUUAAGAGAUAGAUUUAGGUGUAGCUGCUUAAAGGCUGAGUCUGUUCGACUUUUAAAUUCUU